UGAACGCUAGCGGUGCGCCUAACACAUGCAGGUCGAGCGGUAGAAUUGAAUAGCUUGCUAUUUAAUUUGAGAGCGGCGAACGGGUGAGUAACAUGUUGAUAUCUGCCCCCAAGUCAGGGAUAGCCAUUGGAAACGAUGAUUAAUACCGGAUAGUCUCUACGGAGUAAAAACUUAUUGCUUGGGGAGGAGUCUACAUUCUAUCAGUUAGUUGGUGAGGUAAAAGCUCACCAAGACUAUGACGGAUAACUGGUCUGAGAGGAUGAUCAGCCACAAUGAAACUGAGACACGGUUCAUACUCCUACGGGAGGCAGCAGUGAGGAAUCUUCCACAAUGGACGAAAGUCUGAUGGAGCGACACCGCGUGAAGGAUGAAGGCCUAACGGUUGUAAACUUCUUUUCUGAAGGAGCAUAAUGAGAGUACUUCAGGAAUAAGGGACGGCUAAUUACGUGCCAGCAGCCGCGGUAAUACGUAAGUCCCGAGUGUUACCCGGAAUCAUUGGGUGUAAAGGGUUCGUAGGCGGAUAAUUAAGUUGGGUAUUAAAGACCGAGGCUCAACCUCGUGUUUGUGUCCAAAACUGGUUGUCUAGAAUUAGGGAGAGGUAAGUGGAAUUCUGUGUGUAGGGGUGCAAUCCGUAGAUACACAGAGGAACACCAAAAGCGAAGGCAACUUACUGGAACUAUAUUGACGCUGAUGAACGAAAGCGUGGGUAGCGAAAAGGAUUAGAUACCCUUGUAGUCCACGCCCUAACGAUGAUAACUAGGUGUUGGGACUAGAUCUCAGUGCUGA
rnacentral:rRNA from 1 species